GUAUACUAUAGAGGAUAAAGUUCUUGACUUAGGAUCAAGAACAUAUGGGUUCAAAUCCCAUC
rnacentral:tRNA from 1 species